rnacentral:rRNA from 1 species
CCUACGGGUGGCAGCAGUGGGGAAUUUUGGACAAUGGGCGCAAGCCUGAUCCAGCCAUGCCGCGUGCAGGAUGAAGGCCUUCGGGUUGUAAACUGCUUUUGUGAACAGUUCGUUACCGUAAGAAUAAGCACCGGCUAACUACGUGCCAGCAGCCGCGGUAAUACGUAGGGUGCGAGCGUUAAUCGGAAUUACUGGGCGUAAAGCGUGCGCAGGCGGUUAUGUAAGACAGAUGUGAAAUCCCCGGGCUCAACCUGGGAACUGCAUCUGUGACGGCAUAGCUAGAGUGCGGUAGAGGGGGAUGGAAUUCCGCGUGUAGCAGUGAAAUGCGUAGAUAUGCGGAGGAACACCGAUGGCGAAGGCAAUCCCCUGGCCGUACUGACGCUCAUGCCCGAAAGCGGGGGAGCAAACAGGAUUAGAUACCUUGUAGUC